rnacentral:rRNA from 2 species
AGCGGCGGACGGGUGAGUAACACGUGGGUAACCUGCCUGUAAGACUGGGAUAACUCCGGGAAACCGGGGCUAAUACCGGAUGGUUGUUUGAACCGCAUGGUUCAAACAUAAAAGGUGGCUUCGGCUACCACUUACAGAUGGACCCGCGGCGCAUUAGCUAGUUGGUGAGGUAAUGGCUCACCAAGGCAACGAUGCGUAGCCGACCUGAGAGGGUGAUCGGCCACACUGGGACUGAGACACGGCCCAGACUCCUACGGGAGGCAGCAGUAGGGAAUCUUCCGCAAUGGACGAAAGUCUGACGGAGCAACGCCGCGUGAGUGAUGAAGGUUUUCGGAUCGUAAAGCUCUGUUGUUAGGGAAGAACAAGUACCGUUCGAAUAGGGCGGUACCUUGACGGUACCUAACCAGAAAGCCACGGCUAACUACGUGCCAGCAGCCGCGGUAAUACGUAGGUGGCAAGCGUUGUCCGGAAUUAUUGGGCGUAAAGGGCUCGCAGGCGGUUUCUUAAGUCUGAUGUGAAAGCCCCCGGCUCAACCGGGGAGGGUCAUUGGAAACUGGGGAACUUGAGUGCAGAAGAGGAGAGUGGAAUUCCACGUGUAGCGGUGAAAUGCGUAGAGAUGUGGAGGAACACCAGUGGCGAAGGCGACUCUCUGGUCUGUAACUGACGCUGAGGAGCGAAAGCGUGGGGAGCGAACAGGAUUAGAUACCCUGGUAGUCCACGCCGUAAACGAUGAGUGCUAAGUGUUAGGGGGUUUCC